GCUGGGUUUCCAGGUAACAGCGUGCUUGCAGGCAGACACACACACACACACACACACACACUUAAAUAAAAUGUGGGUCUACCCAACUACAUUCUUAAAUAAGUACCUGCCUGUUGCAUUCUAAGGGGACCAAAGUUCCAUCCAAAUCUCAACUUGCUUUCUCCUUAGGGGUCCACCAUAUCUCCCACAUGCUCCUUUUCCCAGAAGAACUGAGCAAGCUACAUCAUGUGAGGUCAGCACAGCCGGGUUUGUGAAGUAGGUCUGGAGACUGUUUCCAAAGAGACGUGUUAUUAAAGAAACAAUGCCUUUGUCUCUGCAGCAGGGCUAAGUGCUGUUUAUUUCCAGAUGCUUUCCUGGAACACAGGGAAGGGAGUGCAGCUGCACGUCAUUCAUGGAGUGUCUGAAACAGGAUGGGGGACAACACUCAGAGGAAAUGACCAAGCUCAUUCAGGGACCUAACCAGGGUUGCCAGUACAUUCUGACCAGAUGCACAAGGCCACAGCCAAAUGGAAAUUCCUGUUAAACAUCGUCAAAGGAAGAACUACAGACAAGACUUUCUUCAUGCAGCUGCUGUGGUUGCGGCAAGCUUUGAAACAAAUUGAUAUGCAGACUGGUAUCUUCCAAACAAAUCAGCCAGACGUAUUUUUCAAGUGGAAUUUUAUCACAGCUGUCCAAGUCAACGUUUCCACUGUUCAGAUUCAUCAGAUAAUUGCUACCAUAUCAGCUUGACACUGACAGCCAGUCCAUUUUCUACGGCUUUUCACUGUUUCUUUCCAGUCCGUCAUGUUAUCACUUUAUGCCCGACUCACUUAUUCUUCAAUAAUUUCUUUUCUUUUAGAUAAAUGUAUGUGUGUGUGUUUUGUUAACUGUAAAUAAAUGAAUUCUUGCUGUAAAAAAAUUUUAACA
rnacentral:lncRNA from 13 species